rnacentral:rRNA from 1 species
AAGUCGAACGCGAAAGGGGGGCAACCCCCGAGUAGAGUGGCGAACGGGUGAGUAAUACAUCGGAACGUGUCCAGUAGCGGGGGAUAACCUCUCGAGAGAGAGGCUAAUACCGCAUACGACCUACGGGUGAAAGAGGGGGAUCGCAAGACCUCUCACUAUUGGAGCGGCCGAUGUCGGAUUAGCUAGUUGGCGGGGUAACGGCCCACCAAGGCGACGAUCCGUAGCUGGUCUGAGAGGACGACCAGCCACACUGGAACUGAGACACGGUCCAGACUCCUACGGGAGGCAGCAGUGGGGAAUUUUGGACAAUGGGCGCAAGCCUGAUCCAGCCAUGCCGCGUGAGUGAAGAAGGCCUUCGGGUUGUAAAGCUCUUUCGGCUGGGACGAAAAGGUCCGUGCUAACACCACGGAUCAAUGACGGUACCAGCAGAAGAAGCACCGGCUAACUACGUGCCAGCAGCCGCGGUAAUACGUAGGGUGCAGGCGUUAAUCGGAAUUACUGGGCGUAAAGCGUGCGCAGGCGGUUUGCUAAGACAGGUGUGAAAUCCCCGGGCUUAACCUGGGAACUGCGCUUGUAACUGGCAAGCUUGAGUGUGGCAGAGGGGGGGUGGAAUUCCACGUGUAGCAGUGAAAUGCGUAGAGAUGUGGAGGAACACCGAUGGCGAAGGCAGCCCCCUGGGCUAACACUGACGCUCAUGCACGAAAGCGUGGGGAGCAAACAGGAUUAGAUACCCUGGUAGUCCACGCCCUAAACUAUGUCAACUGGUUGUCGGGGAAGCAAUUCCUUGGUAACGAAGCUAACGCGUG